rnacentral:lncRNA from 1 species
UGUUUGAGCUUUAGAUUUUGCCAUUCCAUUACUUUUCUGUUUCGGUUUUUAUAGACAGUUGUUAUCCAUUUGUUAGGUGUGUUUGAGUUUUUGAUUUAGCCAUUCCAUUACUUUUCUGUUUUGGUUUUUCCUAGGAGUUCUGUAUUUUUGUUAUUUAAUUUUUUUGUGUAUAUGAUCAUAUAAAAUAAAAUUCUUAACUAAAUAC